rnacentral:lncRNA from 1 species
ACCUAGCAUGUGGUUCAUGGAAGGAAAGCAAGAAAUAUUUCUUAAAUAACAGAAUCCAGCUCCACUAAUUGUUACCCCCUAUCUUGAGCUGCUGCUUCCAGAGACGAUUUCUUAGUGGGAAGUCGCAAAUUACAUAAAGCUUGGUGAGCUGUGGAUGAGUGAUUAGCAAUAUUCUUCAAAAGUCAUUAAAAGCUUUGGCUAGGCAAAGUGGCUCACACCUGUAAUCCCAGCACUUUGGGAGGCUGAGGCAGGGAGAUCACUUGAGGUCAGGAGUUUGAGACCAGCCUGGCCAAAGUGGUAAAACCCCGUCUCUACUAAAAAUACAAAAAUUAGCUGGCAUGGUGGCAUGCACCUGUAGUCCCAGCUCUCAGGAGGCUGAGGCAGGAGAAUCACUUGAACCCAGGAGGUGAAGGUUGCAGUGAGGCAAGAUUGUGCCACUGCACUCCGGCCUGGGUGACAGAGUGAGACUCUGUCUUAAUUUUUUAAAAAAAAAAAGCCAUUAAAAGCUUAAAAGGGAAGCUUCUUACUUUGCCUUUCAGAUGGGUUUCAUGUCAGCGGCACAGAAGGUGACUUGACAUUAUCCAGGAUAGCAAACAGGCUUUCUCUAGAACACCAACCCCUGGCAAUUGGUUGAGUUUGUGGGAAGCCAAGGGUUAAGGAUAGUGAGAGCAAAUCGCAAAUCCAGGCCUGGCUAGUUUUUAUAUUUUUAGUAGCGACAGGGUUUCACCAUGUUGGUCAUGCUGGUCUCAAACUCCUGCCUCAAGUGACCUGCCCGCCUGGGCCUCCCAAAGUGCUGGGAUUGCAGGCAUGAGCCACUGCGCCCGGCUUAGGACUGGACUAUUUUGACUAAUCAGAACUGAACCAGUUUGAAUCCUUCAUUUGUAUAAGCAGACCUAAUUGAGAAUUUUCCCUACUGAGGCCAGACUCUACCUUUAUUCUUCCCAGGGUAAGCUUUCACUUAUGCUGAAGACUGUGCCUCCCCAUUCUGCAGAUUGUUUUCCAUAUAUGUAGAGAGAGAAAAUAAAGCUCUCCCUCUU